UAGUAGUUGAAACAAUUUGUUUCCUUCAGGUGAUGCUCGACACUGUGGGAGCUGAGUUGCAGGUUGUUCAUAAAAAACGGCAGCCCCAUUUCACUUCUGGCAGAUGAUUUUGUUAUUCUGACUCCAGAUCAACAACGGGAAGCUUCUUCUGAAGUUCUCCCCACCAAUUUUGAUGGACUAUCUGAGGCAGUGAAGACUACUGUAUGGCUGGAGGUAAGAGAAGGACAACAUUGGUUGCUAAUCAUUGAUUAUAGUCUUCUGUCUAGUUUUUUUACAAUGUAAAUAUUAUUCAGUCAUUGUCUGAAGGGAAGUGGGAUUCUUGCUUUGGUGUUUAUAUAUUAUCCUCCAAACAAGGAGGUUAAAAUCUGACCUACAGCUUUAUUAUUAUUAUUCUCUCUCACUCCUUUUUUACAUAAAGAAUACACUCAAAUAAUUUUUAUUUCUUUCUAUGCAAUUGUUACUAAUAUUUUACUUAUUUUCUCUCUUUCCACCAACAAUUUCUCUUACAACUUAUUAAUAAACCAGCUAUCAUCAAAAACUAACUUUUACAUCAAAUUUACCCUUUAAUAAUUCAUAUUCAUUUUUAACCUGGUACCAGAGGCCACCUAAGGUUUAAAGAAGUUGAGAUUGCUCUUGGGAACUUAGUCACAAUACUGUUAAUACUGUGUGCGUGUGAUUCCGGGAAGAAAAUGCUUAUGGAUGACCUGUAGUGAUUUUCCUGGAAUUGAAUUGAGCAGGUUUCUGAGGUGAAGGGCAGUGUGUCAUAAAGAAUUCGGCAACCUUGGCUGGGUCUUUAUUCACUUUGCAUGCCUCAACUUCCUACUCUUUCAGAUAAAGAUAAGUAGGCCCGUGGGUACUUAUCUAAGCUGGGUGAUCUAUAUCAGACUCAAACUCUUGCCAAGAUUGAGAAUAUAGAGGGGUUAAUCCAUUUUGAUGAGAUAUUACAAGAAACUGAGGGCAUUAUCCUUUCCAGAGGGAAUUUGGGCAUAGAUCUCCCACCAGAGAGGGUUAGUUUCUAAGUUUAAUGAAGCAGUCAUAGUGUGUAUAGCAUAAAGUUCUUGUGUGUUUGAUUCAAUGGCUAUAUAAGAUUUAAGAUGUCUAGAUCUGCGUAUACUUGCCUCUGCUGAUGCAAUACAAAUUGCUGACAUCUUCUGUGUUUUAUUAUGCUAGUCAACUUCUCAUGGAUUCCACCUUAGGUGUUCAUUUUCUAAUUUUAACAAAGCAGUCACUGUAUAGCAUAAAGCUCUUGCACAUUUGAUUCAGUGGCUAGUUAAGAUGCCUGGAUAGUCUAUCCUUGACUCUGCCGACGUCUUCUACUAUAUGUUUUGUUAUGCUAUUCGAUUUAGGCAUUUCAAUGGUGUUAUAGAAGAUAGUUGAAUUUGCAACAUCUUUUAUGCAGCUGACGUAUAAUGGAUAUCUGUUCAACAUAUCAAAUUAUGUGUCAAGUCUUUCUGUUCUGGACUAAUAGAAUGUCAAUUACAGAUUUUUUGAUUU